UCCUCAAGAGCCAGGGGAACAUGAAUGGAACCAAGGGAACAAGUGAUGGGGAACAUGAAUGGGAACGGACGAGCUCUGUCUUCCACGCUUUCGCGAUUUGCGUUUCCCAGUCGUCGCCAUCGCUGUGCCCUCGACCGAUCGAUCGAUACCCAGCACCAUUCUGCUGUUUCCAACGCUGCGCUGCAUCGGCAAUGGCAUAGGAGUUGUGUUCCGUUUCUAAUCUGAGGCAUUUUGUGCUUCCCCCUGACGUUGCUAAAUUGCUACCCAAGAACCGGCUGCUGUCUGAGGUGCGCUGUGUUGGGAUCUGGUUUGAGUUACAGCUGCAUGCCCACCGCAUGCACAAUGCCUUCAGCAAGAUGUCGCUGUAAAAGCCUUCGUAUCUCAUGACCUGAGAACAUCAAUUUAAUCGAGAAACGUCCAAAUUCUUGUGGGUACUUGUAAUGUUUUCAACUUCUAGAUUUUUGGAGAUCAACUAUCAUGAUGUUCUACAGUGUAAAUCUUUCAGGUUUCUGGUUGCAUCAUGACGUUGAAUGUAGGUACGUAAAUAGUUACAGCAUUUUACACCGUCGCUGGUGUUGGUUUCGUAUUCUAUACCGCGUAUUUUUGCUGAGGAAUCUCGGUGCAUUCAUGUCGUAAGAUGCCUAAUCUUCGACGAGCUUUCAGACUAAACGACCUGAUAGGGGGUGGCUGAGCAUCACAUGCUUGACUCUAUUCAUGGUAUAUCAUAAGUUUUCCCUAUUCCUUCAAAAAUCACAAUAGUGUCUUUGGCCACGUA